rnacentral:rRNA from 1 species
UACGAAGGGGGCUAGCGUUGCUCGGAAUCACUGGGCGUAAAGGGUGCGUAGGCGGGUUUUUAAGUCAGGGGUGAAAUCCUGGAGCUCAACUCCAGAACUGCCUUUGAUACUGAAAGUCUUGAGUACGGGAGAGGUGAGUGGAACUGCGAGUGUAGAGGUGAAAUUCGUAGAUAUUCGCAAGAACACCAGUGGCGAAGGCGGCUCACUGGCCCGUAACUGACGCUGAGGCACGAAAGCGUGGGGAGCAAACAGG